UCCAAAUUUCCUACAAUUAGAAACUCUACUCCAUCUCCUUCUACCCCUUGCAAUUUGCAAACCCUAACCCCAAAAUCAAUUUGUCCUUAUAGUUGUUGGCGAAUACCCAAUUCCGAUUUUUGUUCAAUCUCCGAUACCCACUUGUAAUCUUGACUAAAGAUUCGAUCUUUGGGGAUCAAUUUUUUCUCUGAGAAAAGAAGACGAAUAAAGGAAUUAGGGUUUAGGAGUUAGAGGAGGAGGAAGAUGGUGAUCACGAUUGAAGAUUUGAGGAAAAAUGAGAGCUGGUUUUGUGGGUCUUUCUUGAAAAUGGUUGAUGAUGUGAAAGCCAUGGCCACCGACCCAUCUGAGCAACAAGUGCUUCUGACCCAGAUGGUUUUGAAGGACUUGAUGAUGAAUAGGAACAAACCAGAAGCAGCAUUCCCACUUGGUUUUCCCAAAAAGAAGAGAUCUGGAUCUAGAGGGAUGCAAAAGCAGAAUCAGAAUCAGAAGCAGAGGAUCAUCAUCAAAUUCAAACGCUGCGUCUCUGCCACUACAGGUAUUGCUUCUUAUUCUUGCUCUGUUUCCCCUGAUUCUGGUAUUGUUGUAAACCCAGACCCACUUCAUGAUGAUCAGAAACAGGAUUUGAAAUUGAAAUUGAAAUUGAAGAGCAAGAAGAGGUGCUACUCUGAAAUCGAACAAGCAGGCGAUGAAGGUUUCGAAGACAUAAACUCGAAAAGGCUGAGAAAGGGAAAGAAUGAUAAGAGGGUGUUACCAAGUGUGCAAUCGAUCACUGAGUAUUUUCCAAAGGAAGAAUUGCAGGAUCGUAUUCGUGGAUCAGAUCACCCAAAGCCAAGAGCAAGAGCAAUAGCAAUAUCAGGGAAGAGGAAUGAGAUCAAGAUCAGUAUGACCAGCUUUGCUUUGUCCUUGUUAAUCUGCUUUCUUCUUGCAGUUUAUGUUCAACAGUAAUUCAGUGAACAACUUUCAUUUUUCCGGUAUGGUUUUUGUAAUUUUAAUACUUUCUCUAUUUCCCCAAAGCUCAGAUAUCGCAUAUCUUCAUUCUCUUUCUCUCAGAUCAUUCAGUAUGCUCUUUGAGUUUGGGGGAUGCAUCCAAUUUCUUCUUAUGUUUACCUGGUCAUGUUAACUGUAUAAAAGUUUGACAUUGGUUCCCUGGUGGUGAGUACUUAAAGAUCUACCAUAUGGCAGGAGAGCAAAAGGCCUAUAUAUAUAUAUAUAUACACACACUUGGUCCCUUACCUUUUGGUUAUUGUUUUGGUUCUUGCUGCAGGUUUCUGAACUUAUGCUCGUGCUUUAGUGAGGCUUGGAUGAUCUGUUUGAAAAAGUGAAACUAUCCUCUUUGUAACUUUCAACUCGAGUAAUAUCUGAAUAAAGUACUUGUA